CAUCGGAGGGGAAGGGCUGGGUCCCAUCUUCAGUGGUGGCCCUGUGCUUUUAGAUGCUGGGUGGGGAGGGGGGCGUGGGCAGGCAGGACAUGGGGACGCACCCUCCGCUCACCCUCACCAAAGGACCCGCACCCAGUUAGGUAGAAGUCCACAGCCGAGCGUGACUGGUCAGCAGCCACCCCAGAGCGGGUGGGCUACUCCAGAGUGGGACCCCCUCGUAUGUCACCACAUCAGGGCCAGAUGUGGGCACCUGGAAUGGGGCCUGGAGGUUACAGUAAGCCACGUCCUCUGCGGCAACCAAGAAGUACAGGCCUCUCCGAGCCGCCUCUGUCCCCUCCCGUUGCUGCCUGCACCAGCUGUGCUACUGGAAAAACGAGACCCAGCACUGCCCCACUGAAGGUGAACCACAGAUCAGCCAGUUAGAGCCCGUCUCCCUGCAUUGACACUCUCCCACUGAUAAGCCCCCCUGGGCCCACAGAGCUUCCAGUUAUCUACUCCUCACUCACACCUGCAGAGUGAACAGGAGCCACCAGACACAGAGUACUCCUGUCGUGGAAGACCAAGAUGCACAGCACCCCAACCAUGCCAACAAGCAGGUCUUAAAAUCGGAGAAAACAGGCAAAGGAUGAUCAGGAGAGAACUUUCAAAGCCGUACAAUCGUAUCUUAAGUAAAGGAAAACCAGCCCAG